UACGAACCGUCCAAACGUUAUUCGGAAUUAUUGGGCUUAAAGGGUGCGUAGGCGGCGUGUUAAGUCGGGUGUGAAAUCCCAGAGCUCAACUCUGGAACUGCGCCCGAUACUGGCAUGCUUGAGGGAGACAGAGGUGAGCGGAACUGAUGGUGGAGCGGUGAAAUGCGUUGAUAUCAUCAGGAACACCAGUGGCGAAAGCGGCUCACUGGGUCUCUUCUGACGCUGAGGCACGAAAGCUAGGGUAGCGAACGGG
rnacentral:misc_RNA from 1 species